rfam:Nicotiana attenuata strain TT chromosome 6, whole genome shotgun sequence.
AUACCAUGGUGGGGACACUUCACUAGCAUCCCUUUGAAUCUUUCCCAAGUUUCCUGCAAGGUCUCAGUAGGUUGCUGCUUGUACUGCAAUAUCUCAUCAAUCUGUCU